rnacentral:rRNA from 1 species
GACGUAGGGCGCGAGCGUUGUCCGGAUUUAUUGGGCGUAAAGAGCUCGUAGGCGGCUUGUUGCGUCGACUGUGAAAACCUGCGGCUCAACCGUGUGGUCUGCAGUCGAUACGGGCAGGCUGGAGUUCGGUAGGGGAGACUGGAAUUCCUGGUGUAGCGGUGAAAUGCGCAGAUAUCAGGAGGAACACCUAUGGCGAAGGCAGCUCGCUGGGACGGUACUGACGCUGAGACGCGAAAGCGUGGGGAGCGAACAGG